rnacentral:rRNA from 1 species
AACUUUCAGCAACGGAUCUCUUGGCUCUCGCAUCGAUGAAGAACGCAGCGAAAUGCGAUAAGUAAUGUGAAUUGCAGAAUUCAGUGAAUCAUCGAAUCUUUGAACGCACCUUGCGCUCCUUGGUAUUCCGAGGAGCAUCCUGUUUGAGUGUCAUGA